rnacentral:rRNA from 1 species
AUACGUAGGUGGCAAGCGUUAUCCGGAUUUACUGGGUGUAAAGGGCGCGUAGGCGGGGGUGCAAGUCAGAUGUGAAAUCUAUGGGCUUAACUCAUAAACUGCAUUUGAAACUGUAUCUCUUGAGUGCUGGAGAGGUAGACGGAAUUCCUUGUGUAGCGGUGAAAUGCGUAGAUAUUAGGAGGAACACCAGUGGCGAAGGCGGCCUGCUGGACGACAACUGACGCUGAGGCGCGAAAGCGUGGGGAGCAAACAGGAUUAGAUACCCUGGUAGUCCACGCUGUAAACGAUGAAUACUAGGUGUGGGGGGACUGACCCCCUCCGUGCCGCAGUUAACACAAUAAGUAUUCCACCUGGGGA